rnacentral:rRNA from 1 species
UCAGUCGACUCCUACGGGGAGGCAGCAGUGGGGAAUUUUGGACAAUGGGCGCAAGCCUGAUCCAGCAAUGCCGCGUGCAGGAAGAAGGCCUUCGGGUUGUAAACUGCUUUGUCAGGGAAGAAAUCUUCUGGGCUAAUACCCCCGGGAGGAUGACGGUACCUGAAGAAUAAGCACCGGCUAACUACGUGCCAGCAGCCGCGGUAAUACGUAGGGUGCGAGCGUUAAUCGGAAUUACUGGGCGUAAAGCGUGCGCAGGCGGCUUUGCAAGACAGAUGUGAAAUACCCCGGGCUCAACCUGGGAACUGUAUUUGUGACUGCAAGGCUAGAGUACGGCAGAGGGGGAGUGGAAUUCCGCGUGUAGCAGUGAAAUGCGUAGAUAUGCGGAGGAACACCAAUGGCGAAGGCAAUCCCCUGGGCCUGUACUGACGCUCAUGCACGAAAGCGUGGGGAGCAAACAGGAUUAGAUACCCUGGUAG